rnacentral:tRNA from 1 species
GGAUUGUGGCUCAGUGGUAGAGUGCUCGCCUAGCACGGGUGGGACCCAGGUUUGAUUCUUAGCACCA